CCUACGGGUGGCUGCAGUCGAGAAUCAUUCACAAUGGGGGAAACCCUGAUGGUGCGACGCCGCGUGGGGGAAUGAAGGUCUUCGGAUUGUAAACUCCUGUCAUGCGGGAGCAAAUUAAAAUGCUAGUACCACAUUACGAAGAGCCGGCUAACUCUGUGCCAGCAGCCGCGGUAAUACAGAGGGCUCAAGCGUUGUUCGGAAUCACUGGGCGUAAAGCGUGCGUAGGCUGUUUCGUAAGUCGGGUGUGAAAGGCGCGGGCUCAACCCGCGGACGGCACAUGAUACUGGGAGACUAGAGUAAGGGGGGGGGAGCCGGAAUUCUCGGUGUAGCAGUGAAAUGCGUAGAUAUCGAGAGGAACACUCGUGGCGAAGGCAGGUUCCUGGACAGUAACUGACGCUGAGGCACGAAGGCCAGGGGAGCGAAAGGGAUUAGAUACCCGUGUAGUC
rnacentral:rRNA from 1 species